CAUUCUUAACGCAGUGUUCCAAAUGGUUAGAAACAUGGUGAUAUGGUAAAAGAUAAAGUCAUUAUGUGGCUAUUUUGCAUUUAUGAAUACAAUAAAGACAGCAGGUAAUGUUGGUGUAAGUUUUAAUCGUAAAUGUGUGUAUGGAGAAGACAUAACAUAACUGGCAAAAGGCAUGAACAGCACACAGUGUUGUGAUUAUUCAUGGGCUAUUUAUGUACAUAACAGGCGAGCAAGUUAAUAACUUUUUUUUUUAUCAUUUUGUUGACCUUUGUUGACCUACAUUAAACUCUCAACCUUCAUUCAAAAUGAAGUAACAGUGAUCAUAAGAUAAAUUGUAUUUUUAUCAUUCAGAUUGAAAAACAAAAUCUAUCUAAUACCAUGGUUACCAUAUUUAUAGAUGAUAAAAUAACAAAGUCCAAUCAGUGUAAAUGGUUCAAUGGCUAGAUGACAGAGACCAGUGGUGCACAAUUACAUGUAAUCACCAAUUCAAUAUAAGACUCAUUUAUUAGAUUUUGCACUACGUUGAAGAUGGAUGAGGCUAAAAUUAAAGCACUGACAGACUUUAAAAGACUUGGAAAGCUACCUCAGGGUCUUUCCAGACAAGAAAAAAAUAAUUUUUCUUAGAAGGGCUAAAAGCUUUGUUUUUGAAAGUAAGUAAUGUAAAAUGUAUACCUGGAUUUAGUGGUUUCACUGGUUGUUUAUAAUGAUUUUUAUACUUUUUAGAUGAAGCUUUGUAUUAUAUUAAAAAAGAGGGUACUUUGGCAAAAGUGGUCAGCACAAAAUAAAGAGCCCAAGAAAUUUUUGAAGUGCUCCACAACAGCCCAAUAGGUGCUCACUGUGGCAUUCAAAAAACCCUGGAUGCCAUAAGUAAGCACUUUUAUUGGCCUGGUAUGUCUGUGGACAUAAAAAAUUGGGUCAAACACUGUGCCGCUUGUCAGAAAAAGCAAUGUUCUCUGAAGAACCCAACGGAAUAUACCCCUAUCGUGGUGGCUCAGCCUUGGGAUAUUGUGGGGAUGGAUUUAGUUGGAAAGCUCACACCAACCAGUACAUCUCUGUCAUGGUAGAUUACUUUACAAAGUGGUGUGAGGCUUUUCCACUGAAAACCAACAGCACAGAGGAGGUAACGGCCUGCAUAAUAAAAUUGUUCUAUGAAUUUGGUGCCCCUAAAAGGCUCCUAACAGAUCAAGGCACUGAAUUUGGAAAUAAGGUUAGUGCUUUGCUUUUUAUUUGUCUUUUAUUCCAUUCAUUGUUCUUCAUAAGGAAAUACCUUAUUCUCACUAAUUUGUAA
ensembl:lncRNA